rnacentral:rRNA from 1 species
GAUGAACGCUGGCGGCGUGCCUAAUACAUGCAAGUAGAACGCUGAAGCUUGGUGCUUGCACCGAGCGGAUGAGUUGCGAACGGGUGAGUAACGCGUAGGUAACCUGCCUCUUAGCGGGGGAUAACUAUUGGAAACGAUAGCUAAUACCGCAUAAAAGUCGAUAUCGCAUGAUGUUGACUUGAAAGGUGCAAUUGCAUCACUAAGAGAUGGACCUGCGUUGUAUUAGCUAGUUGGUGAGGUAACGGCUCACCAAGGCGACGAUACAUAGCCGACCUGAGAGGGUGAUCGGCCACACUGGGACUGAGACACGGCCCAGACUCCUACGGGAGGCAGCAGUAGGGAAUCUUCGGCAAUGGACGGAAGUCUGACCGAGCAACGCCGCGUGAGUGAAGAAGGUUUUCGGAUCGUAAAGCUCUGUUGUAAGAGAAGAACGAGUGUGAGAGUGGAAAGCUCAC